CGUUAUAUCAGAUUAGACUUGAUUGUGUUCAAUUGGCAGAAUAAAAAUGUGGUGUAUAAUAAUACAGUUCUAAAGAACUUCUUUUGAUUAUUUUGAUGUAUUGACUUGACUAGGAGGAAAUAGCAUUUACAGCCUCUACUCGUGUCCUAGCUCGUCUGAGAGCUAGAUUCGCUUCAAUUGCUUGUCUCUUACCCUCAGCUCUACUCAAGUUAGCUUCAGCUAUUUCAAGAGCUUGCUGAGCUUCUUGCGGAUCAAUGUCAGUACUCAUCUCCGCAUCAUUUCCUAAAAUGGUG
rnacentral:misc_RNA from 1 species